CCCUGUUUGUUCUCCCAUUGCAAAGAUGGCCAAGAUGAUGACCCCCUCACCGAAUGGACAGGCCUGGACAGCUGAUGAUGCGGGCUGCAAGCCUCCUUCUCCUGAGAAGAUGACCCGAACACUAACUCCAUCACAAACCAAGUGGCCCUGGUUCAUGACAGCUGCAUCCACCUCAGCUGAUGCACCAACAGACAAUG